rnacentral:rRNA from 1 species
AUUGAACGCUGGCGGCAGGCCUAACACAUGCAAGUCGAGCGGAUGAAGGGAGCUUGCUCCUGGAUUCAGCGGCGGACGGGUGAGUAAUGCCUAGGAAUCUGCCUGGUAGUGGGGGAUAACGUCCGGAAACGGGCGCUAAUACCGCAUACGUCCUGAGGGAGAAAGUGGGGGUUCUUCGGACCUCACGCUAUCAGAUGAGCCUAGGUCGGAUUAGCUAGUUGGUGGGGUAAAGGCCUACCAAGGCGACGAUCCGUAACUGGUCUGAGAUGAUGAUCAGUCACACUGGAACUGAGACACGGUCCAGACUCCUACGGGAGGCAGCAGUGGGGAAUAUUGGACAAUGGGCGAAAGCCUGAUCCAGCCAUGCCGCGUGUGUGAAGAAGGUCUUCGGAUUGUAAAGCACUUUAAGUUGGGAGGAAGGGCAGUAAGUUAAUACCUUGCUGUUUUGACGUUACCAACAGAAUAAGCACCGGCUAACUUCGUG